UGGGAAUAUUGCACAAUGGGCGAAAGCCUGAUGCAGCAACGCCGCGUGCGGGAUGACGGCCUUCGGGUUGUAAACCGCUUUCAGCAGGGACGAAGGUUUUCUGACGGUACCUGCAGAAGAAGCACCGGCUAACUACGUGCCAGCAGCCGCGGUGAUACGUAGGGUGCGAGCGUUGUCCGGAAUUAUUGGGCGUAAAGAGCUUGUAGGCGGUCCGUUGCGUCGGAAGUGAAAACUCAGGGCUUAACCCUGAGCCUGCUUUCGAUACGGGCGGACUUGAGGGAUGUAGGGGAGAACGGAAUUCCUGGUGGAGCGGUGGAAUGCGCAGAUAUCAGGAGGAACACCAGUGGCGAAGGCGGUUCUCUGGACAUUUCCUGACGCUGAGAAGCGAAAGCGUGGGGAGCAAACAGGCUUAGAUACCCUGGUAGUCCACGCCGUAAACGGUGGCACUAGGUGUGGGACCCAUUCCACGGGUUCCGUGCCGUAGCUAACGCAUUAAGUGCCCCGCCUGGGG
rnacentral:rRNA from 1 species